ensembl:snRNA U6 U6 spliceosomal RNA
GUGCUCGCUUUGGUAGCGCAUAUACUAAAAUUAAUACUCUACAGAGAAGAGUAGCAUUGCGCCUGCACAGGAUGAUAUGCAAAUUAGUCAAGUGUGUCGCCUUUUU